rnacentral:rRNA from 1 species
CACCGGGGGGGUGCUAUAAUGCAGUCGAACGCUUCUUUUUCCACCGGAGCUUGCUCCACCGGAAAAAGAGGAGUGGCGAACGGGUGAGUAACACGUGGGUAACCUGCCCAUCAGAAGGGGAUAACACUUGGAAACAGGUGCUAAUACCGUAUAACAAUCAAAACCGCAUGGUUUUGAUUUGAAAGGCGCUUUCGGGUGUCGCUGAUGGAUGGACCCGCGGUGCAUUAGCUAGUUGGUGAGGUAACGGCUCACCAAGGCCACGAUGCAUAGCCGACCUGAGAGGGUGAUCGGCCACAUUGGGACUGAGACACGGCCCAAACUCCUACGGGAGGCAGCAGUAGGGAAUCUUCGGCAAUGGACGAAAGUCUGACCGAGCAACGCCGCGUGAGUGAAGAAGGUUUUCGGAUCGUAAAACUCUGUUGUUAGAGAAGAACAAGGAUGAGAGUAACUGUUCAUCCCUUGACGGUAUCUAACCAGAAAGCCACGGCUAACUACGUGCCAGCAGCCGCGGUAAUACGUAGGUGGCAAGCGUUGUCCGGAUUUAUUGGGCGUAAAGCGAGCGCAGGCGGUUUCUUAAGUCUGAUGUGAAAGCCCCCGGCUCAACCGGGGAGGGUCAUUGGAAACUGGGAGACUUGAGUGCAGAAGAGGAGAGUGGAAUUCCAUGUGUAGCGGUGAAAUGCGUAGAUAUAUGGAGGAACACCAGUGGCGAAGGCGGCUCUCUGGUCUGUAACUGACGCUGAGGCUCGAAAGCGUGGGGAGCAAACAGGAUUAGAUACCCUGGUAGUCCACGCCGUAAACGAUGAGUGCUAAGUGUUGGAGGGUUUCCGCCCUUCAGUGCUGCAGCUAACGCAUUAAGCACUCCGCCUGGGGAGUACGACCGCAAGGUUGAAACUCAAAGGAAUUGACGGGGGCCCGCACAAGCGGUGGAGCAUGUGGUUUAAUUCGAAGCAACGCGAAGAACCUUACCAGGUCUUGACAUCCUUUGACCACUCUAGAGAUAGAGCUUCCCCUUCGGGGGCAAAGUGAC